rnacentral:rRNA from 1 species
GUCUAUGGCCACACCACCCUGAACAAGCCCCAUCUCGUCCGAUCUCGGAAGCUAAGCAGGGUCGAGCCUGGUUAGUACUUGGAUGGGAGACCACCUAGGAAGACCAGGUGCUGUAGGUG